GAGGCAGCAGUAGUGAAUCUUCUGCAAUUGGCAGAAGCCUGACGGUGCAGCGCUGCAUGAGUGUUUAAGGUCUUCGUAUCGUAAAACUCUGUUAUUAGGUAAUAACAUAUGUGUAAGUAACUGUACACAUCUUGACGGUACCUAAUCAGAAAGCCACUGCUAACUACGUGCCAGCAGCCGCGGUAAUACGUAGCUGUCAAGCGUUAUCCGGUAUUCUUGUGCGUAAAGCGCGCGUAGGCGGUUUUUUUAGUCUGAUGUGAAAGCCUACGUACCUACCGUGGAGGGUCAUUUGGAAACGGCAAAUUUGAGUGCCGAAUGAUAAAGUGGGACUCAAUGGGCAGCGGGGACAUCCGCACGCAUACGCAGGACCACACGAUGGUAACG
rnacentral:rRNA from 1 species